rnacentral:rRNA from 1 species
AUGCUGGAGGUAUCAGAAGUGCGAAUGCUGACAUAAGUAACGAUAAAGCGGGUGAAAAGCCCGCUCGCCGGAAGACCAAGGGUUCCUGUCCAACGUUAAUCGGGGCAGGGUGAGUCGACCCCUAAGGCGAGGCCGAAAGGCGUAGUCGAUGGGAAACAGGUUAAUAUUCCUGUACUUGGUGUUACUGCGAAGGGGGGACGGAGAAGGCUAUGUUGGCCGGGCGACGGUUGUCCCGGUUUAAGCGUGUAGGCUGGUUUUCCAGGCAAAUCCGGAAAAUCAAGGCUGAGGCGUGAUGACGAGGCACUACGGUGCUGAAGCAACAAAUGCCCUGCUUCCAGGAAAAGCCUCUAAGCAUCAGGUAACAUCAAAUCGUACCCCAAACCGACACAGGUGGUCAGGUAGAGAAUACCAAGGCGCUUGAGAGAACUCGGGUGAAGGAACUAGGCAAAAUGGUGCCGUAACUUCGGGAGAAGGCACGCUGAUAUGUAGGUGAAGUCCCUCGCGGAUGGAGCUGAAAUCAGUCGAAGAUACCAGCUGGCUGCAACUGUUUAUUAAAAACACAGCACUGUGCAAACACGAAAGUGGACGUAUACGGUGUGACGCCUGCCCGGUGCCGGAAGGUUAAUUGAUGGGGUCAGCGCAAGCGAAGCUCUUGAUCGAAGCCCCGGUAAACGGCGGCCGUAACUAUAACGGUCCUAAGGUAGCGAAAUUCCUUGUCGGGUAAGUUCCGACCUGCACGAAUGGCGUAAUGAUGGCCAGGCUGUCUCCACCCGAGACUCAGUGAAAUUGAACUCGCUGUGAAGAUGCAGUGUACCCGCGGCAAGACGGAAAGACCCCGUGAACCUUUACUAUAGCUUGACACUGAACAUUGAGCCUUGAUGUGUAGGAUAGGUGGGAGGCUUUGAAGUGUGGACGCCAGUCUGCAUGGAGCCGACCUUGAAAUACCACCCUUUAAUGUUUGAUGUUCUAACGUGGACCCGUAAUCCGGGUUGCGGACAGUGUCUGGUGGGUAGUUUGACUGGGGCGGUCUCCUCCUAAAGAGUAACGGAGGAGCACGAAGGUUGGCUAAUCCUGGUCGGACAUCAGGAGGUUAGUGCAAUGGCAUAAGCCAGCUUGACUGCGAGCGUGACGGCGCGAGCAGGUGCGAAAGCAGGUCAUAGUGAUCCGGUGGUUCUGAAUGGAAGGGCCAUCGCUCAACGGAUAAAAGGUACUCCGGGGAUAACAGGCUGAUACCGCCCAAGAGUUCAUAUCGACGGCGGUGUUUGGCACCUCGAUGUCGGCUCAUCACAUCCUGGGGCUGAAGUAGGUCCCAAGGGUAUGGCUGUUCGCCAUUUAAAGUGGUACGCGAGCUGGGUUUAGAACGUCGUGAGACAGUUCGGUCCCUAUCUGCCGUGGGCGCUGGAGAACUGAGGGGGGCUGCUCCUAGUACGAGAGGACCGGAGUGGACGCAUCACUGGUGUUCGGGUUGUCAUGCCAAUGGCACUGCCCGGUAGCUAAAUGCGGAAGAGAUAAGUGCUGAAAGCAUCUAAGCACGAAACUUGCCCCGAGAUGAGUUCUCCCUGACUCCUUGAGAGUCCUGAAGGAACGUUGAAGACGACGACGUUGAUAGGCCGGGUGUGUAAGCGCAGCGAUGCGUUGAGCUAACCGGUACUAAUGAACCGUGAGGCUUAACC